rnacentral:lncRNA from 1 species
CUAGACACUUGAUCAGACCAGCUCACCAUGUCUAGGCAGAGCUCUUCACUCCAAGACUCACACAGGCUGUGGGCAGCCCAUGCAUCGGCUGCUUUUGAGUCGGGUCCAAUGGGAUGCAGCUGGAGGAGGAGUGGGGUCUCAUGGUAUAAAAUAUUGUGACUGAAUGCUACUUCAAGGAGGAUGAUUUCCUUAGAAGGGCCUGUGGAUGCAGCAGGCACCGACGGAGACAUUUCUAACACAGUCUUCCUCCCAGCACCAUCAGAACAAGGUUUUGGGUCUCUGAAAACCAGCUCAUACUAGGAACUUUGAAGAAACUCAGGAAACAUUUCCCCUGGAGAAGAGACUGUGGCAAGCAUAACGGGCAUCUCCAAAUGAAAGCAGAAGUAGACCUGUCCUGUGUUGCUCCAGGCGGGAGUAUUACAGCUAGAGAGGAUUUACUGAAACCCCUGUGAAUUCAGCGUGCUCCGGCCGUGUGGUGUGGUGGGGGAAAGGUCUGCCAUCUGAGGGUCGUGUGAGGACCCUACUCCAUGCCUGUCAGGUAGCUCGGUGCCCGUAGUGAAACCCUAUCUGCAGAGAACAUCCACAAUCUAACGUUGGAGCUCUACCUGUGGCGCAAAUAGCCAUCCCUCCCAUCUGUGAUGGGCCUUGCUGGAGAGUCCCAGCUCCCUGGAGAUAGUGACGAGGCUCCAGCAGCUGAAGAGCUCCAUCUCUGGUUUCUCCCAGAAUCUGGACCAGCCCACCCCAGCACCCUCUGUCCACCCCGGUCUCCUCUCUUCAGAGCUUGUCCCUCCCUAAGUCUCUGCUGAAUUUCUCCCAGCCCCAUUCACCGCUGCCCUAAAAUGGAAAAUUCAUGAUGUUCUGGCCCAAUGACCAAUAUUAUAAUCGCUAUCUAAUGGUUCUUUUGCUUUUAAAGGUCUCUUGCCUCAUACCCAG